rnacentral:rRNA from 1 species
UACGUAGGGUGCAAGCGUUAAUCGGAAUACUGGGCGUAAAGCGUGCGCAGGCGGUUAUGUAAGACAGAUGUGAAAUGCCCGGGCUUAACCUGGGAACUGCAUUUGUGACUGCAUGGCUAGAGUUUGGCAGAGGGGGGUAGAAUUCCACGUGUAGCAGUGAAAUGCGUAGAUAUGUGGAGGAACACCGAUGGCGAAGGCAGCCCCCUGGGUCAAGACUGACGCUCAUGCACGAAAGCGUGGGGAGCAAACAGG